rnacentral:rRNA from 1 species
AUUGGACAAUGGGCGCAAGCCUGAUCCAGCCAUGCCGCGUGAGUGAUGAAGGCCUUAGGGUUGUAAAGCUCUUUUGUCCGGGACGAUAAUGACGGUACCGGAAGAAUAAGCCCCGGCUAACUUCGUGCCAGCAGCCGCGGUAAUACGAAGGGGGCCAGCGUUGCUCGGAAUCACUGGGCGUAAAGGGCGCGUAGGCGGCCAUUCAAGUCGGGGGUGAAAGCCUGUGGCUCAACCACAGAAUUGCCUUCGAUACAUUCGGCUUGAGACCCA